rnacentral:ncRNA from 1 species
AACAGGUGCCGUCUACGAUGGCCAAAGAGAAAAGCCGGUAAAAGCCGGCGCGGUCCCGCCGCUGUGAGGGGAGUAAACUUGCAUUAUGCCACUGGAGAAUCUGGGAAGGCGCAGGUGAGCGAUGAACCGAGCCAGAAGAACUGCCUGUCC